UACGUAGGGUGCGAGCGUUGUCCGGAAUUACUGGGCGUAAAGAGCUCGUAGGCGGCUUGUCGCGUCGACUGUGAAAUCCCGCGGCUCAACCGCGGGUCUGCAGUCGAUACGGGCAGGCUAGAGUUCGGUAGGGGAGACUGGAAUUCCUGGUGUAGCGGUGAAAUGCGCAGAUAUCAGGAGGAACACCGAUGGCGAAGGCAGGUCUCUGGGCCGAUACUGACGCUGAGGAGCGAAAGCGUGGGGAGCGAACAGG
rnacentral:rRNA from 1 species